GGGUUUUAGAAAGCCAUAAAGAGAAACACCAAGUUUUAUUUCUCUAAGAUGGUUCUUGAGUUGCAACUAGAGGAGGCUUUCUUAUAUAGAGGAGAGACCUUAAGACCAUAAAAAAUAAGAAUAAUUAUACUGACAAGCUUUCAAAAAGAAAGCUAAUUACAAACUUUGAAUAAAGCAACACACUUUAAAUAAUACACACCGACACACUUAAAGUAGGGACAAGCCAACAGUGAUAAAGUUCACAGGUUUACG
rnacentral:misc_RNA from 1 species